GACGAACGCUGGCGGCGUGCUUAACACAUGCAAGUCGAACGGUAAGGCCCUUCGGGGUACACGAGUGGCGAACGGGUGAGUAACACGUGGGUGAUCUGCCCUGCACUUCGGGAUAAGCCUGGGAAACUGGGUCUAAUACCGGAUAGGACUCCGGACUGCAUGGUCUGGGGUGGAAAGCUUUUGCGGUGUGGGAUGGGCCCGCGGCCUAUCAGCUUGUUGGUGGGGUGAUGGCCUACCAAGGCGACGACGGGUAGCCGGCCUGAGAGGGUGACCGGCCACACUGGGACAGAGAGACGGCCCAGACUCCUACGGGAGGCAGCAGUGGGGAAUAUUGCACAAUGGGCGCAAGCCUGAUGCAGCGACGCCGCGUGAGGGAUGACGGCCUUCGGGUUGUAAACCUCUUUCAGCAUCGACGAAGCGAAAGUGACGGUAGGUGCAGAAGAAGGACCGGCCAACUACGUGCCAGCAGCCGCCGCGG
rnacentral:rRNA from 1 species